rnacentral:lncRNA from 13 species
CAUUUACCAGUAAUCUUUUUUUUUUUUACCUUUACCAGUAGUCUUAUGGAUUUAAAUUACCAGCUGUGGUCACUUGCUUUCAGCUUGAAGAACUUUCUUUAGUAUUUCUUUUAAGACACCACCUUCUCAAGCUCAUCAAUAAAAACCUUCACCGCAGGACUGGCAACCUGUUUCUCUGGGACCCCUCUCUGCUGGAGAUAGCUCUUCUCUUUCUUUCACCUCUUAAACUUUCACUGCUGAUCUCACUCUCCGAUACAAUGACAUCCUCAUUAGAAAAAGACACACAGACAAAGGGAUGACCAUUUAAGACACAAUGAGAAGGCAACCCACUGCAAGCCAUGGAAGAAAGCAAACCUGCUGACACUUUGAUCUUGAGCUUGAAUCCUCCAGAAUGGCCAUUGGACCCAGCCUGGAAUUACACCACCGGCUUUGCUUGGUCUCCAGCCUGCAGACAAAUAGAUUGUGGGAUUCUCAGCCAUCAUAAGUGUGAUGAGUGGUAUCUGGUGGGAGAAGCAGCAAAGGAGAAAGGACUUAUAGAGUGCCUACAUAAAUUGGUUAUGAGUAGCAUAUAAAGAAGGAACAACAAAUUGUGGAAGGCCGCAGGAGGCCUCUGAGGAGGAAGGCCUCUUCAUGCCUCAUGUUCUGGUUCAGGGUGACCUCCGCUCUGUUAUCGUAAACAUUGUGCUCAAGGAUGUAAAACUACUUUAUAGCACUAUGAUGUAGCCAGACUUGUAGGCUCCUUGUAAGGCCCAUGUUCCACUAGCUGCAUGUAGAUAACAGGCUAAAGAUAACUACAUGUUCUUGUUUUGUGAAACCCCAAACUGCCACUGUUAUCUAUCUUUAGAAUGACAUACCAGUUCCAGCUGACUGAUUCAGUUCUGGCUCACUAAUUCAUCCCACCAUCAUGUCACCCCUCCCCACCCUCACUCCACCCCUGCCCUGUAGAUCAAAGUGAUUAUAACCAAUAAAUAGUGUGAGAAGUCAGAGCUCGGGGCCUUC